AACGCACCUUGCGCUCCUUGGUAUUCCGAGGAGCAUGCCUGUUUGAGUGUCAUUAAAUUCUCAACUACACUAAGUUUUACAACUUGGUUGUGGCUUGGAUGUUGGGGGUACACCUGCGGGCCUCUGUCAUUGAGGUCGGCUCCCCUGAAAUACAUUAGCGGAACUGUUUGCGGUCAGUCACCGGUGUGAUAAUUAUCUACGCCCAAGACAAUGGCUGCUCUCUAUGUGUUCAGCUUCAAAUCGUCCAUUUGUGGACAACUUUUGAAUAUUUGACCUCAAAUCAGGUAGGACUACCCGCUGAACUUAA
rnacentral:misc_RNA from 1 species